rnacentral:rRNA from 2 species
UACGAAGGGUGCAAGCGUUACUCGGAAUUACUGGGCGUAAAGCGUGCGUAGGUGGUUGUUUAAGUCUGUCGUGAAAGCCCUGGGCUCAACCUGGGAAUUGCGAUGGAAACUGGGCGACUAGAGUGUGGCAGAGGGUAGUGGAAUUCCUGGUGUAGCAGUGAAAUGCGUAGAGAUCAGGAGGAACAUCCGUGGCGAAGGCGACUGCCUGGGCCAACACUGACACUGAGGCACGAAAGCGUGGGGAGCAAAC